UCACACCGGAAGCGGAAGCGACUCCUUGCCGUCCGCCAUCUUGGGGAGGUCGCCUCUGGAACUGGAGGAGGAGCCCGCGGGAGUGCCUCGGAGUCGAUACCGGACCCUUUACCCUCGGUCCGGGCAGCCGGUCCUGCCACACCUCAGAGCUGGAAACUGCUUUCUAGUUAUCGUUUUUCUGUAGGCUAUAAGAUCCCCAAGCGUGUGAACCGGAGGGGAGAUAAUAGACUAGGUGAAGCUUGAGCAGAAGUGAGAAGACGGUGAAGGUCUUUUUAAAAACCAUAGAAAACCUGAGUAUUUUCAUCAACAGGCUCACAACUCCGAGACCCUCCCCACCACACCUGACAGAGGUUUCCAGGACAAUGUUACGGUGCUCUUAUAAGAAGGAGGAAUGUGGAAGAGAUCCUGGAGAAAAAAAAAAAAAAA